rfam:Pan troglodytes isolate Yerkes chimp pedigree #C0471 (Clint) chromosome X, whole genome shotgun sequence.
GCCAGGCGUGGUGGCGCAUGCCUGUAAUCCCAGCUACUCGGGAGGCUGAGGCAGGAGAAUUGCUUGAACCUGGGAGGCAGAGGUUGCAGUGAGCCGAGAUUGCACCACUGCACUCCAGCCUGGGUGACAGAGCAAGACUCUGUCUCGG